GACGAGGGAUCCUAGCGUUGUUCGGAAUCAUUGGGCGUAAAGCGGAUGUAGGUGGCUUAGUAAGUCAGGUGUGAAAGCCCAGGGCUCAACCCUGGAAGUGCAUUUGAUACUGCUAAGCUUGAGUGCUGGAGAGGCUACUGGAAUUCCUGGUGUAGUGGUGAAAUACGUAGAUAUCAGGAGGAACAUCGGAGGCGAAGGCGGGUAGCUGGCCAGACACUGACACUCAGAUCCGAAAGCGUGGGGAUCAAACAGG
rnacentral:rRNA from 1 species